GACGAACGCUGGCGGCGUGCUUAACACAUGCAAGUCGAACAGUGGCGAACGGGUGAGUAACACGUGAGUAACCUGCCCUCCACUUUGGGAUAACUCCGAGAAAUCGGGGCUAAUACUGGCUAGUGGGGGAUGGGCUGGCGGCCUAUCCGUUUGUUAGUGAGGUAGUGGUCACCAAGGCGUGACGGGUAGCCGGCCUGAGAGGGCGACCGGCGACAAGGGGACUACGGCAGGGACCAGACGCCAACGGGAGGCAGCGGGGGAAAGUAUUGCACAAUGGGGGAAAGCCUGAUGCAGAGACGCCGGGUGGGGAAAGACGGCGUUCGGGGUAUAAACAUCUGUCAGCAAGGAAGCGGUACUUGCAGAAGAAGCGCCGGCUAACUACGUGCCAGCAGCCGCGGUAAUAC
rnacentral:rRNA from 1 species